GACGAGCGCUGGCGGCGUGCUUAACACACGCAAGUCGAACGGAAAGGCCCUGCUUUUGUGGGGUGCUCGAGUGGCGAACGGGUGAGUAACACGUGAGUAACCUGCCCUUGACUUUGGGAUAACUUCAGGAAACUGGGGCUAAUACCGGAUAGGAGCUCCUGCUGCAUGGUGGGGGUUGGAAAGUUUCGGCGGUUGGGGAUGGACUCGCGGCUUAUCAGCUUGUUGGUGGGGUAGUGGCUUACCAAGGCUUUGACGGGUAGCCGGCCUGAGAGGGUGACCGGCCACAUUGGGACUGAGAUACGGCCCAGACUCCUACGGGAGGCAGCAGUGGGGAAUAUUGCACAAUGGGCGGAAGCCUGAUGCAGCAACGCCGCGUGCGGGAUGACGGCCUUCGGGCUGUAAACCGCUUUCGCCUGUGACGAAGCGUGAGUGACGGUAAUGGGUAAAGAAGCACCGGCUAACUACGUG
rnacentral:rRNA from 1 species